UAGCGAAAUUCCUUGUCGGGUAAGUUCCGACCCGCACGAAAGGCGUAAUGAUUUGAGCACUGUCUCGACAAUGCAUCCGGUGAAAUUGAAGUACCAGUGAAGAUGCUGGUUACCCGCGCCAGGACGGAAAGACCCCAUGGAGCUUUACUCCAGUUUGAUACUGGGAUUCGGUACUGCAUGUACAGGAUAGGUGGGAGACGAAGAAGGAUGGACGCCAGUCUGUCCGGAGUCGCUGUUGGGAUACCACCCCUGUAGUACUGGGUUUCUAACCAGUUGCCAUGAACUGGCAAUGGGACAAUGUCAGGCGGGGAGUUUGACUGGGGCGGUCGCCUCCGAAAGGGUAUCGGAGGCGCUCAAAGGUUCCCUCAGAAUGGUUGGAAACCAUUCGAAGAGUGCAAAGGCAGAAGGGAGCUUGACUGCGACACCGACGGGUGGAGCAGGUACGAAAGUAGGACUUAGUGAUCCGGUGGUAUAAAGUGGGAUUGCCAUCGCUCAACGGAUAAAAGCUACCCUGGGGAUAACAGGCUUAUCACUCCCAAGAGUUCACAUCGACGGAGUGGUUUGGCACCUCGAUGUCGGCUCAUCGCAUCCUGGGGCUGUAGCAGGUCCCAAGGGUUGGGCUGUUCGCCCAUUAAAGCGGUACGCGAGCUGGGUUCAGAACGUCGUGAGACAGUUCGGUCCCUAUCCGGCGCAGGCGGAGGAUAUUUGAGAGGAGCUGUCCUUAGUACGAGAGGACCGGGGUGGACGGACCGCUGGUGUAUCUGUUGGCUACCAAAGCCAUGGCAGAGUAGCCAAGUCCGGCAGGGAUAAACGCUGAAGGCAUCUAAGCGUGAAGCCCCCCUCAAGAUGAGUUAUCCCAAUAAGUAAGACCCCUUAGAGAGUAUGAGGUAGAUAGGUUUGAGGUGGAAGUGCAGUAAUGCAUGGAGCUGACAAAUACUAAUCGGUCGAGGGCUUAUCCUG
rnacentral:rRNA from 1 species